UACGUAGGGUGCAAGCGUUAAUCGGAAUUACUGGGCGUAAAGCGUGCGCAGGCGGUGAUGUAAGACAGAUGUGAAAUCCCCGGGCUCAACCUGGGAACUGCAUUUGUGACUGCAUCGCUAGAGUACGGCAGAGGGGGAUGGAAUUCCGGGUGUAGCGGUGGAAUGCGUAGAUAUCGAGGAGACACCGGUGGCGAAGGCGGCUC
rnacentral:rRNA from 1 species